UCGCCAAACAGAGGAAGGGCGCUGGCUGCAGCCUGGCAUUACCCCUGUUAUCGCAGCCGUGACGAGCAUACGUGAUCAGGAAAGCGUGCCGUCUGUGCGGGCCUGUGCAGCACCUGCCCUGAAAAGUGCGAGCCGAAGCGGCUCUUCAGUCACGCCCAUCUCCCUCGCUCUCCAGAAGCGGUGUCUUGCCCUCUCAUCCCCAUGCGCACCUCUGCCGCAGCUGCGGUGGCGGCGGCGCACGCCGGCAUGCGCGCGCUUCACACAGCCUUUGGUGUCACGGGCAACAGCUGUGGUACAUCCCCGCACGCCACCGUCGCGUCGGCGCGUCUCGCCGUCGCACCGCCACCCCACUCGGGCCUCACCUUGCCUUUCUUCACGCGCUGUGGUGCGUCGUCUGCUGUUUUUACCACCCGCGCUCACAGCGUUGGUUGCUGCCGGUAUGCAGCGGCGGUCGAGCAGCACCGACUCUGCAGCAGUCACGGCUGCCACAGCAACAGCAGCGGCAGCUCCGCCGAUAGCAGUCGUCCGUACGUGCCUGGGCAGGCGGUGCAGGAGACGUACCCGAUUAUCCAGCUCCCGGCGCGCUCACUGUGGUGCCGGCAAUACGCGCUGGACGCUCGUCGGGUGGCCCAGGGCGAGUACGCCGGGCUCGUCUCCCAGGUGAGGGAGGCGCGGCACUACUACCAGUACCCGUCGAUGAGCGCGCCGCAGACGGGGUGGAACGUGCAGAUGUUCACCCUCUUCGACAACUCCGUCUUCAUCAACCCCGUCAACCUCGACGAGGAGGCCUGGCGAGCCGAGGCCGCGCAGCAGGGCAUGUCGUGGGUUGCCUUUGAAGAGGAGAAGAUGCGCGAGCUGCGCACAGAGGGGCUGACCGGGUUCGCCUGGGAGCCGUGCGCGAGCAGCGGGUUUCUGCUGCAUUACAUUGAGCGCCCGCUGACGGUGCGGGUGCGGGCGUUGGACGAGCACGGGAAGCCGUUCACCGUGACACUGGACAAGAUGCGUGCGCGCAUGGCGCUACAUGAGCUGGAUCAUCUGCAAGGCGUCCUUUUCACGCGGCGCGUGGUGGACACGGACCACGUCGUUCCGAUGGAGGGCUUCGUGACCAUGAGCGACUGGAGCGACGACUACCCCUCACUGGAGGCGCGCAGCACGUUUCUCUACACCAUCUUCACCCCGCCGUAUCACUUUGUGUCCGACGCCGUGCCGGACGGCAACCUGCUGGACCGCAAGUUUGAGGACGGCAUCUACCCCGGCUGUGAGCAGGAUCGCCAGCAGCGCAUCGAACUGGCAGCGAUGGAGGAGAUUCAGCGCAAUGCCUGGCGAAAGGAGAAGGCUAAGCGGAAAGAGGGCGGCCAGCAGUGCGGCCGUGGAGAUGUGGGGACGGUGGAGGACGACGACGGCAGUGGCACCCAUGGCGCCAGCUGAGUCGGGCACGCAUAUCCAACGCGGAGUCGCAGGGAUGAGGGUGGUAGUGCCGUUUGGGGAGAGGAGGCAAAGAAACGGCCACAUAAGGCGCGUCUUGUGCGGGUAUGCUGUGUACGAUGGGCGCGGGGGGGCUGUUGGAAGUCGGGGUCGCAUCAACCUCCACAGGUGCUCGCUCCCGUCCGUUCCUUCUACUGAUCUCCUCAUCCUCCUCCUCCGCCCCUCGUCGCCGGUGCUGCGGCGGUGGAGUCGAGAAGAUGAGCCUACAGCAAUCAC
rnacentral:misc_RNA from 1 species